GACGAACGCUGGCGGCGUGCUUAACACAUGCAAGUCGAACGGAAAGGCCCUGCUUUUGUGGGGUGCUCGAGUGGCGAACGGGUGAGUAACACGUGAGUAACCUGCCCUUGACUUUGGGAUAACUUCAGGAAACUGGGGCUAAUACCGGAUAGGAGCUCCUGCUGCAUGGUGGGGGUUGGAAAGUUUCGGCGGUUGGGGAUGGACUCGCGGCUUAUCAGCUUGUUGGUGGGGUAGUGGCUUACCAAGGCUUUGACGGGUAGCCGGCCUGAGAGGGUGACCGGCCACAUUGGGACUGAGAUACGGCCCAGACUCCUACGGGAGGCAGCAGUGGGGAAUAUUGCGGAAUGGGCGGAAGCGUGAUGCAGCAACGCCGCGUGCGGGAUGACGGCCUUCGGGUUGUAAACCGCUUUCGCCGGUGACGAAGCGUGAGUGACGGUAAUGGGUAAAGAAGCACCGGCUAACUACGUG
rnacentral:rRNA from 1 species